UACGUAGGGUGCGAGCGUUAAUCGGAAUUACUGGGCGUAAAGCGUGCGCAGGCGGCGCGUUAAGACAGGUGUGAAAGCCCCGAGCUUAACUUGGGAAUUGCGCUUGUGACUGCACGGCUAGAGUGUGUCAGAGGGGGGGUAGAAUUCCACGUGUAGCGGUGAAAUGCGCAGAGAUGUGGAGGAACACCAAUGGCGAAGGCAGCCUUCUGGGCCAACACUGACGCUCAUGCACGAAAGCGUGGGGAGCAAACAGG
rnacentral:rRNA from 1 species